GAAUGUGGGCUAUGGAUGAUGGAAGUGAAGUGGGCUAAAACAAAAUGAAGCCACAUGUUGUGUGACAGAAGGAGAAGGCAGUUUUCUUUUUCUAUUAUGUUAAAAUGCUGAGGUUCACACAGACUGUGUUUGAGUCACCAGACAUUUGGUUGCAUUUUAAAUUGGUAGCUAUGAUGUUACUUGAUGAUGUGACACCUCAUCAUCGCGUCAUGGCGCUUUCAAAUCAAUGGUAAGAUCUGGUUUCUUUCUGCUCUUAUUUUUGAAGCCAGUGUGAUGGUGUCUUCCACCUGCAGACGGACUCAGAGUGAUUAAAAGAGGUUUCAGGCUUUGUCCCAGGUGACACGAGCUGUAAAUACAUGUGAAAAUGAAUUAAAAAUGUCUGUAUUUAAUGAGACUCUAUCUUCCUUGGCUUUAAUUUCUGUGACCAGACUAAUGAGUUUACAGAGCAGCCAUCAGUGAUGUUGAUCGCAUCAGAUGGAGUCUGCCCGUUGCCGACUUUAUCGCCUUCUGAAAUUCGAGCCGCUUCGCUCAAUUACGGCGCGGGCAGGCAGGCAUCGAAGCUCCGCACCUGCGACACACUCUGCCUCACGUCCACGUCGACCGUGCAGCCGCUCUGACCCCAGAGGAGGAUGACGGAGAGGCUAAAUGGCGCCGCGGAAGGGAGAGAGACAGGCCGGCGGAGCAAAUCUGGCAGGUUCAGCGACGUGGAGGGGAAACGGGACGAGGGCGACGACAGGAGGCAGAAAAGUACAGGAAGAGAAGCAGAAGGAGAGAAACUAAAGGGGUGUCAUGCCGUCCCUGGCACGUGAGCCGGGGCCCAGAUGUCUGCGUUGGCUGUCGUCAGAAUCUAGGUCAUGCUGAGAGAGCGAGGGAGGGAAGCGAUCAGACGAAAGGAACGUCGAAGCAAAUGGAGAGUGAGAGAGGAGAAGCACAUGGCGGCCAGCACGAGUAAAAGGAAAAGGAUUUUUUAUCCAUUGGUGUUUGUGGACAAACCAUCGUCAUCGUCGCAUCUGACACAGAAACCAAACGUAAUGACGAAGGGAAAAACAGAAGGCAACAAACUUGGAAGCGCCUGUGCAAUAAAGCAAGACGGCAAAAGGGGAAGAGGGAUUUG
rnacentral:lncRNA from 1 species